rnacentral:rRNA from 1 species
UACGUAGGGUGCGAGCGUUAAUCGGAAUUACUGGGCGUAAAGCGUGCGCAGGCGGUUGUGCAAGACAGAUGUGAAAUCCCCGGGCUUAACCUGGGAAUUGCAUUUGUGACUGCACGGCUAGAGUGUGUCAGAGGGAGGUAGAAUUCCACGUGUAGCAGUGAAAUGCGUAGAUAUGUGGAGGAAUACCGAUGGCGAAGGCAGCCGUCCUGGAGUAACACUGACGCUCGAUGCAUCGAAAGCG